GACGAACGCUGGCGGCGUGCUUAACACAUGCAAGUCGAACGGAAAGGCCCUGCUUUUGUGGGGUGCUCGAGUGGCGAACGGGUGAGUAACACGUGAGUAACCUGCCCUUGACUUUGGGAUAACUUCAGGAAACUGGGGCUAAUACCGGAUAGGAGCUCCUGCUGCAUGGUGGGGGUUGGAAAGUUUCGGCGGUUGGGGAUGGACUCGCGGCUUAUCAGCUUGUUGGUGGGGUAGUGGCUUACCAAGGCUUUGACGGGUAGCCGGCCUGAGAAGGUGACCGGCCACAUUGGGACUGAGAUACGGCCCAGACUCCUACGGGAGGCAGCAGUGGGGAAUAUUGCACAAUGGGCGGAAGCCUGAUGCAGCAACGCCGCAUGCGGGAUGACGGCCUUCGGGUUGUAAACCGCUUUCGCCUGUGACGAAGCGUGAGUGACGGUAAUGGGUAAAGAAGCGCCGGCUAACUACGUG
rnacentral:rRNA from 1 species